UACGUAGGGUCCGAGCGUUGUCCGGAUUUACUGGGCGUAAAGGAUGCGUAGGCGGACAUUUAAGUCAGAUGUGAAAUACCCGAGCUUAACUUGGGUGCUGCAUUUGAAACUGGGUGUCUAGAGUGCAGGAGAGGUAAGUGGAAUUCCUAGUGUAGCGGUGAAAAUGCGUAGAGAUUAGGAAGAACACCAGUGGCGAAGGCGGGUCUCUGGGCCGAUACUGACGCUGAGGGAAGCGAAAAGCGU
rnacentral:rRNA from 1 species